rnacentral:rRNA from 1 species
GCAAGUCGAACGGUAACAGGCUGUAUGGGAUCCCUUCGGGGUGAACUUGGCGCUGACGAGUGGCGAACGGGUGAGUAACACGUAGGAAUCUACCCAGAAGUGGGGGACAACCCGGAGAAAUCCGGGCUAAUACCGCAUACGCCCUAAGGGGUAAAGCGGGGGACCUUUUCGAAGGCCUCGCGCUUUUGGAUGAGCCUGCGUCGGAUUAGCUUGUUGGUGAGGUAAUGGCUCACCAAGGCAACGAUCCGUAGCUGGUUCGAGAGGAUGACC